UACGGGGGGGGCAAGCGUUGUUCGGAAUUACUGGGCGUAAAGGGCUCGUAGGUGGCCAACUAAGUCAGACGUGAAAUCCCUCGGCUUAACCGGGGAACUGCGUCUGAUACUGGAUGGCUUGAGUUUGGGAGAGGGAUGCGGAAUUCCAGGUGUAGCGGUGAAAUGCGUAGAUAUCUGGAGGAACACCGGUGGCGAAGGCGGCAUUCUGGACCGACAUUGACGCUGAGGAGCGAAAGCCAGGGGAGCAAACGGG
rnacentral:rRNA from 1 species